UGCAACCAGGGCAUCAACUUUCCCUCUUGAGUCUCUCCAUAUUUCUGGGCCAGUGGUUUCAUAAUGAAUCUUUGGAUUGGCAGGAUUUUCAAAUUGCUGAAGCAUAUACCCAUCAGGUGUUUUACUUAAUAUCUCCUCUGCCUUCUUAAGUCCCCCCUGAAAGGCCUUGGCUGGGUCAGUAAGGUGAAUCUCAGCUCCAAGAGCCCGAAGCACAAUUCUUCUUUCAAGACUCAUUGAAGCAGGCAUGGUGAGUAUAAGUCUGACCCUUCAUUGCAGCAAUUGCAGCCAAUCCUAUACCAGUAUUACCACUUGUAGGUUCAAUGAGGAUGGUCUUCCCUGGCUUAAUCAAGCCCUUAUCUUCUGC
rnacentral:misc_RNA from 1 species